CACCUGAUACCAUACCGAACUCAGAAGUGAAAUACCGUAGCGCCGAUGGUAGUGUGGGGUUUCCCCAUGUGAGAGUAGGAAAUUGCCAGGC
rnacentral:rRNA from 1 species